rnacentral:lncRNA from 1 species
CCGCAUCGGGCUCCCCGCAUGGAGCCUGCUUCUCCCUCUGCCUGUGUCUCUGCCUCUCUCUGUGUGUCUGUAAUUAUUGUCUAUGACAAACAAAUUUACUAAUUUAUUUAUUCAUUCAUUUAUUUAUUUCUACACAAUAUUUCUUCCAGCCCCCCCCCCCCCUUUUUUUGGUAUAUAACUUAAUAGUCCUGGAAACUAACAGAUUUGGUUGUGAUCCUGGGGUCCUGGGAUUGUGUCCUGCAUCAAUCAGGUUCCCCAUAGGGAGCCUGCUUCUCCCUUUGCCUGUGUCUGCUUCUCUCUGUGUCUCUCAUGAAUAAAUAAGUAAAUGCAUAAUCUUAAAACACACAAAACAAAAAUGGGAUUAUAUGAUACACCUUAGGCAACUUGGUGUUUUUAUUUAAUAUCCUGAACAUUUUACUGUGUUUGUACAUAAAACUUCAAUAACUUGUAACAAUCAGUGCAGAUUUUAAUUUUGUUAAACCAUUUUUCUGUUGCUAAGUUUGUUCAAUUAUUUCAUUUAAAUUCAAUUAAUGUAUAGUGUUAUUAGUUUCAGAAGUACAUUGUUCAAUUCUUAUUUUUGAACCACUGCAAGCAAUGCUGCAGUAAAUGUUAUGCAGUUCAUUCUUUUCAUGUUGGUGCUGUUUAUGUAAGGUAAAUUCUCAAAAGAAAUUCCUGUGUUAGAGGAUUGUAUAUUGAUUUUUUAAACAAGAAAAUAUUCCCUCAUUGUGGUAGUCCUUAAUACUCUUGAAAGCACUUAUAUUUUAAUUUCGUAUAUUUCAUGUUUCACAAUAAUCCUGUGAAGGAGGCAUAUUCUCAUUUGCAAAUGGGAAAACAGGACCAGUGUUAAAGUGUUUUGAAUUCAUUCACCUAGUUUGGGACAAACAUGGAACUAUAUUCGAGAUCUUUUUAUUCAGAUUCAUCUGUUAUACUAUGAUGAAUGAUCCAAAUUUUUUUAUUUGGAAAACCAAUAUGGUUUUGUGGAUAUAUUCCUUAGCUAUAGGUGAUACAGUGACGUUGUAAGGGUUAUAUAAGUGGGAUCUGAGUGUACAGUUUUAAACCUUCUACCUAGAUUCUGAUGCACCGUGAGGUUGUGAACCAGUGACCUUAAAAUUGGGGUGUUCAUAUCCUUGAGGAUUGCAUAAAGAAUUUCCAAAACGAGGGAUGCCUGAAUGGCUCAGCGGUUGAGCCAAAACGAGGGAUGCCUGAAUGGCUCAGCGGUUGAGCAUAUGCCUUCUGCCUUUGGCUCAGGACAUGAUCCCUGAGUCCUGGGAUCGAGUUCCACGUCAGGCUUCCUACAUGGAGCCUGCUUCUUUCUCUGCCUCUCUCUUUCUCUCUGUGUCUCUCAUGAAUAAAUAGAAUCUUUAAAAAAAAAAAAAAAAAAAAAAGAUUUUCCGAAACAUUAGCACAUUUACUUUUCUGGGAAUCAGUUAACAGAUCCUCCUUAUAUAUGCUAAGAAAGACAUACCUCUGAUCCUUCCCAAAUCCUAAUGUGGUAUGUUAUACUGAUGGGUAAACCUUCAGGGCACAAACUUAAAGUUAGUGUCCUUUAGGGAUUAAUCUCAUUUAGUCUUUUUUUUUUUUUUUAAUUCAUGAGAGACACAGAGAGAGAGAGAGAGAGAGAGGCAGAGACAUAGGCAAAGAGAAAAGCAGGCUCCACGCAGGGAGCCCGAUGUGGGACUCGAUCCCAGGUCUCCAGGAUCACGCCCUAGGCCAAAGGCAGGCGCUCAACCGCUGAGCCACCCAGGCGUCCCAGUCUCAUUUAGACUUAAUUCACUCACAUUGCUGUUAGGAAUGAAAUUUAGCAUAGAACUGUAGUAUUUUGCCUUCUGGGAAUUCAGGUAAGUGAUAGUCUUGAGCUAUAGAAGUAAUGGCAAAUUAAAAAAAAAAAA